AACACAUGCAAGUCGAACGAUUAAAGCCCCUUCGGGGGUGUAUAGAGUGGCGAACGGGUGAGUAACACGUGGGCAACCUGCCCUGCACAUCGGGAUAACUCAGGGAAACCUGUGCUAAUACCGAAUACUCCUUGAGGAUCGCAUGGUCUUCUCGGGAAAGCUCCGACGGUGCAGGAGGGGCCCGCGGCCCAUUAGCUUGUUGGUGGGGUAAUGGCCCACCAAGGCGACGAUGGGUAGCCGAGCUGAGAGGCUGAUCGGCCACACUGGGACUGAGACACGGCCCAGACUCCUACGGGAGGCAGCAGUGGGGAAUAUUGGACAAUGGGGGAAACCCUGAUCCAGCCAUGCCGCGUGAGUGAUGAAGGCCUUAGGGUUGUAAAGCUCUUUCGCCGAUGAAGAUAAUGACGGUAGUCGGAGAAGAAGCCCCGGCUAACUUCGUGCCAGCCGCCGCCGUAAGAC
rnacentral:rRNA from 1 species